rnacentral:rRNA from 1 species
AACGAACGCUGGCGGCAUGCCUAACACAUGCAAGUCGAACGAGACCUUCGGGUCUAGUGGCGCACGGGUGCGUAACGCGUGGGAACCUGCCCUUAGGUUCGGAAUAACUCCCCGAAAGGGGUGCUAAUACCGGAUAAUGUCUUCGGACCAAAGAUUUAUCGCCUUUGGAUGGGCCCGCGUUGGAUUAGCUAGUUGGUAGGGUAAAAGCCUACCAAGGCGACGAUCCAUAGCUGGUCUGAGAGGAUGAUCAGCCACACUGGGACUGAGACACGGCCCAGACUCCUACGGGAAGCAGCAGUGGGGAAUAUUGGACAAUGGGCGAAAGCCUGAUCCAGCAAUGCCGCGUGAGUGAUGAAGGCCUUAGGGUUGUAAAGCCCUUUUACCCGGGAUGAUAAUGACAGUACCGGGAGAAUAAGCGCCGGCUAACUCCGUG